rfam:Cephalotus follicularis DNA, scaffold: scaffold1729, isolate: St1.
ACGGUAUGAUGGGGACAUUUUCUAACGAGAUCCUUUAAUCUUUCCCAUGAUUCAUGGAACUGCUCACCAUCUUGUUGCUAAAAGCUAGUGAGAGCUCAUCUUAUCU